rnacentral:rRNA from 1 species
AUUGAACGCUGGCGGCAGACCUAACACAUGCAAGUCGAACGGCAGCACAGAAGAGCUUGCUCUUUGGGUGGCGAGUGGCGGACGGGUGAGUAAUGUCUGGGAAACUGCCCGAUGGAGGGGGAUAACUACUGGAAACGGUAGCUAAUACCGCAUAACGUCGCGAGAUCAGAGUGGGGGACCUUCGGGCCUCACACCAUCGGAUGUGCCCAGAUGGGAUUAGCUAGUAGGUGGGGUAAUGGCUCACCUAGGCGACGAUCCCUAGCCGGUCUGAGAGGAUGACCAGCCACCCUGGAACUGAGACACGGUCCAGACUCCUACGGGAGACAGCAGUGGGGAAUAUUGCACAAUGGGCGCAAGCCUGAUGCAGCCAUGCCGCGUGUAUGAAGAAGGCCUUCGGGUUGUAAUGUACUUUCAGCGGGGAGAAAGGCGGUGAGGUUAAUAACCUCGCCGAUUGACGUUACCCGCAGAAGAAGCACCGGCUAACUCCGUGCCAGCCGCCGCAGUAA